rnacentral:rRNA from 1 species
CUGCAUGGCUGUCGUCAGCUCGUGUCGUGAGAUGUUGGGUUAAGUCCCGCAACGAGCGCAACCCUUGCCUUUAGUUGCCAUCAUUCAGUUGGGCACUCUAGAGGGACUGCCGGUGUCAAACCGGAGGAAGGUGGGGGAUGACGUCAAGUCCUCAUGGCCUUUAUGCCCAGGGCUACACACGUGCUACAAUGGGCGGUACAAAGGGUAGCGAUGCCGCGAGGCGAAGCCAAUCCCAAAAAGCCGUCCUCAGUUCGGAUUGGAGUCUGCAACUCGACUCCAUGAAGCCGGAAUCGCUAGUAAUCGCGGAUCAGCAUGCCCGUACGGUUCCGAAUACGUUCCGGCCUU